rnacentral:rRNA from 1 species
AGUCCGGCUUACUUGAUUUGAAGUCUGGACCAUUAAAUUGGAUGCAUGAUAACUAAGUGGGCCAUUUUUGGUAAGCAGAACUGGCGCUGUGGGAUGAACCGAACGUUGAGUUACGGCGCCUGAUUAUAGACGCUCAUCAGAUACCACAAAAGGUGUUGGUUGCUAUAGACAGCAGGACGGUGGCCAUGGAAGUCGGAAUCCGCUAAGGAGUGUGUAACAACUCACCUGCCGAAGCAACUAGCCCUGAAAAUGGAUGGCGCUAGAGCGUUUAGCCUAUACUCAACCGUUGUGGCACACGCUGCGGUAAGCAAUUACCGUAUUUGGUGCUUUUAUGGCACAUGCGUGCUAGUCAUGCCUCAACGAGUAGGAGGGUCGCGGCGGUAUGCUUUGAAGGCUUAGCGGCGUGAGCCGGGCUGGAGCUGCCGUCGGUGCAGAUCUUGGUGGUAGUAGCAAAUACUCAAGCGAGAACCUUGAGGACUGAAGUGGAGAAGGCUUCCAUGUGAACAGCAGUUGAACAUGGGUCAGUCGAUCCUAAAGCAUCGGCGAAGGCCGUUCAGAAGCGGUGUCGGUUAUGUGGCAGUAUGCUGUUUCGGCAGUAUGCUGUCCGGCUAUAGGCGCUUGCUCGUUUAUAGUCGCCGCACCUGCUGAAAGGGAAUUGGAUUAAUAUUUCCAAACCUAACAGCGGAGAUUGGUUGCUCAUUAGGCUGCACGGGCCUUGCGCUCGUGUCAGUCGGGGCAACGCGCUGCGGUAACGCAAACGAACUCGGAUACGCUGACUGGAGUCCCGGGAAGAGUUGUCUUUUCUUCAUAAAGAGUCGACUCCAUGGAAUUGGUUCAGCCAGAGAUAUGGAGAUGGCGUCUGAAAAGCAUCGCGCUUCUUGCGAUGUCCGGUGCGCUCCAAGCGGCCCUUGAAAAUCCGAGGGAGAGAAUGAUUUUCGUGUUAGAUCGUACCCAUAUCCGCAGCAGGUCUCCAAGGUUAAAAGCCUC